GGCCACUGGGCCUUUUCUGUCCGUGGUCACCCCCGAUUCGUCUUGUAAUUCCUGGGCCCGCCCCCGGCUCGCCAAUCCAUCCUGUGACUCUCGGACCUGCCCUCCGCAAGGUCUGUUAUCCCGGGACCUGCUCCCCGCUUUGUCCUGUCACUCCCGGACCCACUCCCAGCUCCACCUCGCCACCUCAACUCGGUCCCUUGAGCUCCUGUCUCGUCCUCAGUUGUGUUACGCCCAGAUCCAUUCCCGCCCUGUCCCGUGACCCCGGACCCUGUCAGGUCACCCUCAGCCGGGUUCCCAUUCCCUUUCCUCACCUUGAUCAGGUCUCUGCUGCGUCCCAUAAUUCCAGGACCAAAGAGACCACUCUCCGCUCCCUCCUGUCUUUUUGGGACCAGCCCCCCACACUGUCUACAUCCUGUCUCCCGACUUUGUAGGUCACUCUGUGUGCUUAGAGAAGUAAAGGAACUUGUGGCUUUUUUGUUUGUUUCAUCAAAAUCACCAUUGAGAGGUUCUAAAGGCAGUGGGAAUGUAGAGCUGGGUACUUGUCACGAUGGAUAAAUAAAAGCUCCAGGUAAUACAUCCUGUGUAGAUUUCAAAACUUAAUACCUGUAGCAAUAAAACACGUGCUGUUGAAACAGGAACAAUGACUGUUAUUGCAAUUGGUAAUCUCUAACAGGGAUUACAGAUCUUGAAUGUCUUCAGGCACCAGGUGAAUAAACCAAAUAUGAUGAAUGAUUGCCACCCAAGUAAGUGAUACCCAAUUGUAACUUCUCUGUCAAGUAAGGGAUACCCAACCAAUUUAUGACACUUCUCUGUCAAUCUAACCUUUUUUUUUUUUUUUUGGUUCUCUUUAAACUCUUUAAAUAAUUUACUUGGGCUGGGAUGUGGCCCAGGCGGUAGCGCGCUCGCCUGGCAUGCGUGCUGCCCGGGUUCGAUCCUCAGCCCCACAUACAAAAAAGGGAUGUUGUCUCCGCCAAAAACUAAAAAAAAUAAAUAUUAAAAAAUUCUCUCUCUCUCUCUCUCUCUCUCUCUCUCUUUCUCUCUCUCAAAAAAUAAAUAAAUAAAAUAAAUAAUUUACUAAUUUAAAUAAGUGAUAAGUUUCUUUAUCAAACGAAUUCCUUAAUUGACAAAAGAGCUACAAAUUUGUCACUAAGGUACACAACAUAUAAAAUACUGUUCUCUUUUUAAGUCUUAAAACUCCUUCAAGAGGUGCUGCCCUUUUCUAGCACUUAAAUUUGGUAAACAAGGUCACCCUGGUUGAUAACAAAGCAAAUAAGAAAUUAGUCUUACAACAAUAAGCUAAAUAUGAGUAUUUCCAGCAGCAAACUUCAGCCAUUAAAGGUACUCUUUCACUUUGUGUGUGUGUUUGGGGGGAGGAUACUGGAGAUCAAACUCAAGGUACUCUCUCUUUCUAUGCAAGCAUUCUACCACUGAUU
rnacentral:lncRNA from 1 species